rnacentral:lncRNA from 1 species
CAGGGUAACUGUGGAAGCUGACAGACAUAAGCCGAAGAAGAAAAUGAUUGGCAUCACUGUAGGUCCUCAGCAAAUCAAAAUGGGUGCCUGGUAAGGUUCAUGGUUAAGAGAUGUGGUGCAGCUGUUCUUUUAUCUCCUACUCAGAGUGGAAAUAGCCUUACCAGAGCAAGGCACAGUGAACAAUAGAAGUAAUAUUUUUAAAAAAUGUGCCUCUGCAAAGGAUUGAUCAGUGGCUUAACAAAGAUUGACAUCAGCGUGACAUUCUCUGCAACAAUGCACAAGGCUGCACAGAAAAAUCUUCCCUAUUUACAAGCACAGUCAACCUUUCAUCUCUGAUUUCCCCUGAAGACCGCAGUGACCCUCUUAAAAUAUACUGCAGGGAGUAUGCAACAAACUUCUUCGAAAGAGAGGCAAUCUAGAAAUAAUUGAGACAAGGGCAGAAGCCAAAGGACAAUGAAAAAAUUUCAGAAACAGG